UGCGUGUUACCACUCAACUUUGACCCUGACGUCAUAUUGAGCUCGACGAAGGAUCGUUAUGACGUUGGCGAUUUUCUCAUCCUAUCUUGUCCUCCACCACCUUACACUGCUGUGGGGGAGGUAUUCUCUCAAUGUACGGAGACAGGAUGGCUACCCGACAUCUCCAGCAAGGCAUGCUAUGCUCCGUGCUCCGCGCCGUCAGUGCCAUCGCAUUUAACACAUCAUGACCAAUCCACGGGGGACACACUUUUAGAAUACAAACAUGGUGCCGAGCUCUCCUUCAAGUGCAAAGUGACUUCGAAAGUUUUGAGUAACACAUCUAGCCCAGUAUGUGUCGAUGGUGUGUGGGAUCAACUCAGUUACCCGACGUGUGAAGCUCCCGUCUGUACUCUUCCUGCUAACUUGGAUUCGGAUAUUCUAGUAAACCCAACG